ACGCCCUUUCCUGGAGCCCGCAGCUGGAACGAAGCCCCUUGAAGGCCUGACAUCAGAGGAACGGAACCUGGGAAUUCUGCUUGAGUGGCUGGAGCAGCGGUCACUGACCUCAUCAUGGUCCUCGUCAGCCAGUGAGCAACGCUUUGCAGUUUACAAAACACUUUCACGUCCAUUCGCUAGUUCGAUUUGGUCUUCGCAACCCUUGGUAAGAUCAUCCCAUUACCAAUUCCACCCCCGGAGAGAAGAGGAAGUUAGGAUCCGAGGUGGAGGUUGCGUAAAUUGCCCUCAGCGCCAAGAGGAGGCCGGGAAUCCCACCACCUUCCCGGCACCUAGGCUUUCCGCCGGGCCUCUCCCCACCCCGACUCUUUAUCAUGCUAAUUGAGAGGAGUGAGCUGCUUCAGUCGGAGCCAAGCUGGAGCUUAGGGCCGGAGGUUAGGACUGAGUAGGCAAUCAGAAAACAGGUCAAGGGGCGGGAUCCUGUCCCACCUCCCCCGGGGCAAGCUCUGAGGGCCCCCCCCCCCCCCCCCCCCCCCCCCGCCUCGCUGGUGUGGGGGAUUUGAAUAGCAUGACCAUAUGAUUGCUCAUCCAGAUUAGGACAUUUUUGAGAAUGAAAGGGAGCGCCCAUAGUAACUACCCCACGGCAAGAGCCGAGAAUGGGAGGCGAGGUCGCCCUAUUAUGGAACCACCUGCCUUGCCCCUUCUCCACCUCUGCAGUCACUCGGCGGCCACUCGCUGGGCAUUUAGUUGUGCUGGGCACUCUGCAGAGCUGGUGUUAUUGGAUCUUCAGGAUAACGAGUGGCCGAUCCAGUUAUUGUUCCCAUUUUAUUGGUGGAGAGACUGAGGCCCAGUAGACUCUUGCCCACGAACUCACAGCUGGUCCUUGGGCGCCGCUAGACCGUCCAGAGGAAACAAUAUGCCUUGGCGUCAUUGGGAAGACCUUGAAUAGGGUCUGGAAAGAGGUGAGUUGAGAUGGGCCAGCCCUAAGGCAGGAAUCUGUUGGAUAUGUUUGAGGUCAGAGGGAGUGGGAGGGAUGGGGAGCAGGAGAGGAAGUGGCCCUGGAGACCAUCAUGAGGCUUUCGGCUUUCGCUCUGAGUGAGAUGGGGAUCCAUUGCAGGAUUCUAAGCAGAGAAGUGACAUGAUCAGACUUUUUUUUAAAAAAGUAUUUAUUAUUUUUUAAGGGGCAUUUUAAAGACUCUUUUUUAGAGCAGUUUUAGGUUCACAGCAAAAUUGAGAGGAAGGUGCAGAGAUUCCCCAUAUACCUCUUGUCCCCACACAUGCACAGCCUCCCCCAUUAUCAGCAGCCCCCGCUCCUCCCAGAGUGCUACAUUUGUUACAACUGAUGAGCCUAGAUCGACACGUUGUUAUCACCCACAGUCUAUAGUUUACAUUAGGGUUCACUUUUGCUGUUGCACAUUCUGUGGUUUUGGACAAAUGUAUAACGACCUGCAUCCAUCAUUAUAGCAUCAUACGGAGUAUUUUCACUGUUCUAGAAAUUCUCUGUGCCCUGAGAUUAAUGUUUUGAAGCUUCACUUCGGCUUGCGCGCUGAGAGUAAAUGGAAGGGUGGGGGCAGGGACAGAGGCGGGAGACCCGUUGGGGGGCACAGGCAGCACGGUUCACGAGAGCCCCACGGCCUGGAGGGGGCCCCCUCCGCAGCCUCCUCAGCAGAGCCUCCUGCCGCACCCCAUGCCUCUUCUGCUUCAGUCGAGCACGGAAGGGAACCCCUGGUGCUUGAGGGCCUACUAGGUGCGGGGCUUGCUUUAGGUGCUUCCUGUUGCUCACGUCAUUUAACCUUCAGACGCGUUCCUGAGGGAGGGAUUGUUCCACAGAUGUUUCAAAGCCCAUGUUCCGGGUUGAAUGGUGUCCUCCAAUUCGGUGGCGUUUGGAGGCAGGACCUUUGGAAGGAGGAAAGGCACAUGAGCGCACAGUAGGAGAUGGCCUCUGCAGCCAGGAAGAGAGCUCACACCCGGAGCGGAAUCUGUUGGCCCCUUGACCUUGGACCUCUCAGCCUCGAGAACUGUGAGAAAAGAACGUUUGGUGUUUAAGCCACCUAGCCUAGCCUGUGGUACUUUAUUGUGGCAGCCCCAGCUGAUUAAGCUAGCCCAUUUUACAGACAAGGAAACUGAAACUCUGAGGUUGAGGUGACAAGUCACCCAGCUGGGGUGUGGCAGUGCCGUUACCCUGGGCUGUGAUGGGAGAUUCGGCUUGGAGGAGCCCUGCCUGGGGGCUGGGGAACCUGGCACUGAGGAGUCACAGAGGGACAAGUCUCAGGGUGAUUGGGCCUGCUGGGCUCCUGCCUGGAGGCAGCACUGUCUCUGUGCAGGUUCUCAGAGGCCUGGCUCCAGCUUUUCCAGGCAAGCAGGGGGUCUGUCCGGGGUCCCACUGAGGCUUCCUCGUGGCCUCCCAGCCUUGCUGGCGCCUUGAGCUGUCCAGGCUGGUGCUCCCGGAGGCGGCA
ensembl:lncRNA